UAAAGAUAGCUGUUUAUAUUU
rnacentral:piRNA from 1 species